GACGAACGCUGGCGGCGUGCCUAAUACAUGCAAGUCGAGCGAAGCGGCGGAUGGGUGAGUAACGCGUGGGUAACCUGCCCUUAAGUAUGGGAUACCAUAUGGAAACAGAAGCUAAUACCGGAUACGAAAGGAUGGACCUUCGAUUCAUUAGCUAGUUGGUUAGCGAACGGCUUACCAAGGCGAUGAUGCAUAGCCGUGUGGAGAGACUGAUCGGCCACAUUGGGACUGAGACACGGCCCAAACUCCUACGUGAGGCAGCAGUAGGGAAUCUUCCACAAUGGACGAAAGUCUGAGGGAGCAACGCCGCGUGAGUGAAGAAGGUUUUCGGAUCGUAAAGCUCUGUUGUUGGUGAAGCGGUAAUCAACCAGAAAGUCACGGCUAACUACGUGCCAGCAGCCGCGGUAAUUC
rnacentral:rRNA from 1 species